CAUCUCAGUGUCAGUAGUUUCACCUUUAUGUCAACUAAUGAAUUUCCCAAAUAAUAGGACAAUAUUACUGUUCAUGUUUGGGCUUUGGCCAAUAUCUAAUCUAUUCACCAUUCUUUAAAACCCUUAAUUUUUUUCAAGUUAAAUAACCGCUCACAAGUGUGCAAGGCAUUAAAUAGAUAGGCUAAAACACCAUGCGCGGCAGAUGGAUGACUUUAUUGCCCCGCGGGGUGAUGGUACGCGAUAACUCAGGUCAGAUAUCAUCGUCAUCACUGGGAGAAUGGCGCGCUGGACGGCAGACAAAUUCAACAAUGUCCAUGCCAUGGUUCGGUGGUCUGCGACCUUCAGAUCAGCAAUUUGUGCAAACCGGUCGAUGAGUGCAGGCUACGAACGUUUAGGUAUGGCCACAACAUGGCAGAAAAUCCAACUGUUCUACCAAUGAGUGCUAGAGAAUGGAGUUCACAGCGUCAUCCUGGUUGGCAAACUAGGUUAUUAUGUCAGCCUGUGGACUACAGCACCAGCAGCUGGUUCUCAACUACCUGGUUAAAUAAAGGUGAAAUAAAACAUUUGCUGGUGGUUUUACUCCUCCAAAGUCAUCGAGCUCAGUGAUAUUGUAAGUACACUUACAAUAAGCAAAAAACGGUGUAAGCCGCACCACUUGGACUAUAUUUACAUCUCUUCAUUUUAUGUGCUGUCUAUGUGACUAAUGUCUGUAAAUGUAGCUAACUCCUGAGGAUUUGUUUUCGGUAUUUCUUGUCAUAUUCUUGUAUAACUGUCAUGAUAAUUAAACAAAUAUGACAUGUC